AAGGCUAUACUUUCAGGGAUCAUUGCUAUAGCUCAUUUCUAGAGAAGUUUCUCUGACUGUGUAGAGUACCAGAAACCGCUAGAAGGCAUAGCGUUCUCUCCUGAGUGUGAAGCAGCUCUUGGUGUUGCUUUGCUACAACUGCCACUUGCCAUUAACGGUCAUUCCUGCUCUCCUUGCCAGAGCUGGAGGGAGAGGAAGCAGUCUGAUCGGC